UACGGAGGGUGCAAGCGUUAUCCGGAUUCACUGGGUUUAAAGGGUGCGUAGGCGGGCAGGUAAGUCCGUGGUGAAAUCUCUGAGCUUAACUCAGAAACUGCCAUGGAUACUAUUUGUCUUGAAUGUUGUGGAGGUAAGCGGAAUAUGUCAUGUAGAGGUGAAAUGCUUAGAUAUCGGGAAGAACACCCGUGGCGAAGGCGGCUCUCUGGGACGGUACUGACGCUGAGACGCGAAAGCGUGGGGAGCGAACAGG
rnacentral:rRNA from 1 species